CAGCCGCCGCGGGAAUACAGAGGGUGCGAGCGUUAAUCGGAAUUACUGGGCGUAAAGGGCGCGUAGGCGGUUAGGAAGGUGUGAUGUGAAAGCCCUGGGCUUAACCUAGGAAGUGCAUCGCAAACCAACUAGCUGGAGUAUAAGAGAGGGUGGCGGAAUUUCCGGUGUAGCGGUGAAAUGCGUAGAGAUCGGAAGGAACGUCAAUGGCGAAGGCAGCCACCUGGCUUAAUACUGACGCUGAGGCGCGAAAGCGUGGGGAGCGAACAGGAUUAGAUACCCCCGUAGUCCCUGUCUCUUAUAC
rnacentral:rRNA from 1 species